AGAGCGAACGCUGGCGGCAGGCCUAAUACAUGCAAGUCGAACGGACCCUUCGGGGUUAGUGGCGGACGGGUGAGUAACACGUGGGAACGUGCCCUUUGGUUCGGAACAACUCAGGGAAACUUGAGCUAAUACCGAAUGUGCCCCCAUCCUUAAACAAGAUGGGUGGGAAAGAUUUAUCGCCAUUGGAGCGGCCCGCGUCUGAUUAGCUAGUUGGUGAGGUAAAGGCUCACCAAGGCGACGAUCAGUAGCUGGUCUGAGAGGAUGAUCAGCCACACUGGGACUGAGACACGGCCCAGACUCCUACGGGAGCAGCAGUAGGGAUCUUGCGCAAUGGGCGAAAGCCUGACGCAGCCAUGCCGCGUGAAUGAUGAAGGUCUUAGGAUUGUAAAAUUCUUUCAGCGGGGACGAUAAUGACGGUACCGCAGAAGAGCCCGGCUAACUUCGUGCCAGCAGCCGC
rnacentral:rRNA from 1 species